CAGUGCGCUCGCCGGUGAGACGAAGAUUCCCGAACCUGGAAUUGAAUAUACCGAUUGAUUGAUUUAUCCAAGCUUGUAGGCGUUAUUAUUAUUAUUCAUUUUUGUUUGCCAAAACUCUUUUUCAGAAGGCUACUUACUACCAAUCUAUGAUUUACAUCUGGGGGAUGUCGAAAAACCAUGUGAUUGUAUGAAUGAUUUAGCAUAACAAGGAUAAAAUUUGCAUUCAAACAUUUGCAUUCAGAAAAAUGUUCAAAGGACGUCCAAAAAGCCCGACGCAACAUGAGUCGAAUAUUCAGACUGUUCUAAAAGAGGAAUUAAAGACAUGCAUUUCGAUGCACCAAGGUUUCCAAGGUUUUCCGGCCAGUGAAACGCUCACACCCAUAGGGAAUGUAUAGUUAGCAUAGUUGGAACUGGUGUAGAAACAGCUGCGUGUGUACACCUCGUCGGAAAAUAUAUCGCUUAUAUAUCGCAUCGGCACCUAUAACCCAAGCUCGCUGCAUUUCCAAUUACCUCGCGAGUGAAAUUAACGCUCAUUAUUCCGAUUCCAGUGAGCGUUGAUUGGUUGAAAGUUUUGCAUAGCUGCACUUGAAUAUCCCGUUGGUAGGAAUCUCAUCUGGUUGAUUCGCAAACGCUGCUUCGAAUUAUCGAUUGUGCAGUAAUAUUUUUACUUAUUUAUACAUCUCGGAUUCGCGGAGCGACCCGAAAUCAGCUUGUACAUACGAUAAGUUCGAACGAGUUUUUAAACAUAUUAUUAUCUAUACGUUUUAGUUACUACUGAGAUUAACGAUUGCUAUGGCUACCAGAUCCAGUUUUGAAAAUAAUCUGAGAGAAAUCAAUUUCGAAUUCUCUUCCUAGUAUGAGAUGUACUAUACACGAAGUCGAGUGCAUAAGCUUAAGUGAAAUAUUGACUAUAAUAAAUCAUACGCACGGCGACGCAGUGGAAUUAAAAACGACCUUUGCAUAAAACGAAGUAAGUGCAACAAUAUUCAGGCAAUUAAGAUGCAGAGCAACUAUCCAUUCAAUCACUUCAUACAAGCUCUCAAUUCCUAAUCAGAUUUCAACGUGAUCUAAUUAAUUAAAAUGGAGUAUCGAGUAUACUAAAACUAAUUAUAACUUGUACGUACUUUCCUCGUGAUCCCACGUCACAUCGAGAACCUCGAUCGCUUCUUGCGUAGACUCACUAUUCCAAAACUCAUAUCCAAAAAUAUACUCCUCGUCCCGUCAUCCCCCACGUGAGCCAGACGGUAAAGAUCCAAUCGAGACUACUGUGUAUAUAUACACUCGUAUUCGAGCAAACAAAGAAACGGGCUAUCGAAAUAAGCAAAAGAGUCGUGGAUUCGCGGGAAAGCCGAGACGUUGCGUGUCGAGGAGCACGACGCCUCGUGUAUGACGUGUGAUCGCGCUCACGUGAAAAUUCGCGGGCAAAUACAGCUUCGUCAAUUAAAGUCUACGUUACAACGAGCUAAUUUGUACGCGAGAAUUUUUUUAGAGGUGUAUGUGGAUAGUCGUUAUGGGGCAAGGGACCCGCUGACUAUGGCAAUGCUUGGCUGCAAUUUUUGGGAAAGGAAUGUAUUUGCUUAAGUGUUAACGGCUGAUGAAAGUUCUUCGGUUAUGUCCAGGAUAAUAUUCUAAAUAUGUCACACACAAUGUAUGUUUGCGUUGAAUUGACGACGACUGCUGUCACGAGUUGCUGAUUUUUCAGCUUCGAUGCUGAGGUUUGCUGUUCUAGUCAAAUAAUAUUAUUCAAAUGUAAGACAUGUUUCCGCGCAUUAAUCUUUGGCUGACAAGUUAGAAUGGAGUGUGCAGUAAUUAAUACGAUAUUUUAUUAAUUAAAGAUUAAUUAUAUCCAGCACGUGCGCGUUCUUCUACAUAGUCAACAUAAACAACGAGUAUACAAUUACCAACGUAUUUUUGCAACUGUAUCAUUGCUCAACGACUUUUUGCAUUCUACAUUCACUCGACCCUUGAAAAAAAAAAUCCCCGUUUAAACAUAUAGCUUAAUUGCCAGUUGCACACGUGCGUUAUCCUCGCGCGCAGAAUCCUCCGCCGCGAUGAAAACCAUCUCUAUGAACUGGCAAAGCGGCAAUCAUUGAGUCUACUUGGAGAUUUCUCUCUGUUCGUGUCUCGCGAUUGUGGUUAUGCAAUUGAGCUGCGUGCGGCGAAAAAAACGAUAUAUCCUUAUCUCCACCGAUGUUUUAUUUCGUUUGCAUUGAUAUAGUAUUAGUGUCAUAGAUUAAUCGUCGUUUUGCAAUUUAUUGAGUCAUUACAAUAACGAGUUUUUUUUUUGUUAACAUGAGAAUUAUGCUUGAUUGUAUCGGAUUGAAAGCCGUAUAACGUUUGUUAUUAUUAUUAUAUUAUACUCGCUUUGACAGGCCUGCGUUGACGUUUUGAAUAUAGUAUAAUGUUUUUGUGCUGUAUAAUAUAAUGUUCAGUGUAUGUGCAUCAACUAUAUCGCCGUUAAUUAAAAGCUGAAUGAUAUAUUAUCAAAGCCAAAUUGAUAUACGCGUGUGUACCUGCAAUAAUUCAUCGUAAUGAUACGCGCAAACAGAAAAUCAGCCAUACAGUAGCGUUGAUUUAUGCUUUCAAAAAUUCAUUCGCGGAAAUAAUUAAUAACAAAUUUUUCACUCUUUAUUCCUUCUAGAUUAUAAGUUGACCACAGCUGUAUAUUUCAUUUGCUUCUGAUAAGAAAAUAAACACAACUCGCGUGCAUCGUAUCAUAUUGAUAAAUAAUGAAAAUCGCAGCAGAUCUCGCGCCAGCAACGAAAUCCAGAGGAUAAAAAAAUUACGCUUGAACAAUUAUAGGCUCGCCCAAAAUCGAAUACGACAUUCUGAUCUCACAAAAGCUCGCGCGGCACCUAAUCCAAUUCAUCCAAAUCACAUCACAUUAGCCGCACUUCCCGGUACGUACUCGUACAUAAAUCCAAAUCGAGCGUGGAAUACGCCGCAGCGUCUUCCAAAGUCGUCCUCGUCUCUUCAAUUGGCUCUAAUGUAUGUACACACACACACACACACUGCAGGACGACGUGGGAAGAAGCUCAUGUGCUCGGUCGCCAACACGAAACGAGGGAAUUACAAUGUAUUAAGACAUUAUGAAAGCCAGGGGAUAUUCUAUUAUACACGACUCUAAUAAUAGAAUGUGUCUUUUCUUUUUUUGUUGGCAUUACGACAUAUAUUGUAUAUGGCCCGUUGAAAUUCCCGAUGGUCGACUCGCGGGGAAUAUCAUUAUACGACUGAUCGCGUGAGGCAAAAGUAUUCGGCGAUGCUCUUAUCGCUCCGCUGCUGAUGCUCGUCUGACUAAUCGAGGCGAGUGAACAAAUUUUAAAUGACUUUCAUUUUUGGACUUUGGGAGGUCUUAUCAAUAUAGCCGAAAUAAUAUUUGAGGGAAUCUGAGGUGCCCACACCAUGUGAAUGCGAUUAGUUUGAAUAUUACGGUUUUUUUUCAUAAGAAUGCAACCGAGUCUUUAAUUAUUCCGAAAUGAUGAUACACGCCGAAAUCAAGAAUGUAUAAGGUAUUGAGCAACGGGAGCAGUGCGUAAACGCUCGGAACUGCUGACACGCAUGCAUUUUGUGCAAUUCCGCAAAUUUUCGGGCCCGACCGUCAUCUCUUCGACGCUUACCCAUUAUACUCAACAUAUAUACUUUUUGAAAACUCCUCGCGUUUUAUCUUUGAGCAAAGCUAUUGCGGAUGGAUCUUUCGAGACGCACGUGCGCUCAGCUCAUUCACCGGCGCGAACGCAACGACUCGCUCUUGUUGACUUGAGCUAUAUUAUAUUUUAAAGCUAUCGACGACGUUUAAAACUAGAGAACCGGUUAUACUUUAUCCGUAUACAAACAUUGUUUAUGAUAAGAUAAGAGUGUCAUAUGCAUGAAAAAGAAAAACGUUUUCCCGUUAACGGAAUGAGCAAUUUCGGUCUAUGCUUGGAAAAUAAUCGAAGCAAAAAUGCGCAUAAACGUGUCUUAUCGCAUUGGAGACAAACUUUCCAUACGUAUGUAACUAUCGAAUUAGCCGCGCAUUAUUCAACACAUACUUAAUACGUUCUGUGAGCUGUGAGCAAAAAGUAAACAAACAUAAGAUCGAGCAAAUUUACCGAUCAUAACGGCGGCGAUCAUGCUGAUCGCGCUCAUCAGUCCGAGUUCCCUCUUCAGUCCCACCUGCUCCACCUCGUCUUCCUUUUUCGCCUUCGACAUGUUCGUGCAGUAGAAAAUCAACCAAAAUUAAGCCACGAAUUUAUUCUCUCCAGUCCAUUCGGUUCCCGGCGACGCUCUUCUUCGGUUUCCAG
rnacentral:lncRNA from 1 species